rnacentral:rRNA from 1 species
CUUUUGGGUGUGACUGCGUACCUUUUGUAUAAUGGGUCAGCGACUUAUAUUCUGUAGCAAGGUUAACCGCAUAGGGGAGCCGGAGGGAAACCGAGUCUUAAUUGGGCGUUAAGUUGCAGGGUAUAGACCCGAAACCCGGUGAUCUAGCCAUGGGCAGGUUGAAGGUUGGGUAACACUAACUGGAGGACCGAACCGACUAAUGUUGAAAAAUUAGCGGAUGACCUGUGGCUGGGGGUGAAAGGCCAAUCAAACCGGGAGAUAGCUGGUUCUCCCCGAAAGCUAUUUAGGUAGCGCCUCGUGAAUUCAUCUCCGGGGGUAGAGCACUGUUUCGGCUAGGGGGCCAUCCCGGCUUACCAACCCGAUGCAAACUGCGAAUACCGGAGAAUGUUAUCACGGGAGACACACGGCGGGUGCUAACGUCCGUCGUGAAGAGGGAAACAACCCAGACCGCCAGCUAAGGUCCCAAAGUCAUGGUUAAGUGGGAAACGAUGUGGGAAGGCCCAGACAGCCAGGAUGUUGGCUUAGAAGCAGCCAUCAUUUAAAGAAAGCGUAAUAGCUCACUGGUCGAGUCGGCCUGCGCGGAAGAUGUAACGGGGCUAAACCAUGCACCGAAGCUGCGGCAGCGACGCUUAUGCGUUGUUGGGUAGGGGAGCGUUCUGUAAGCCUGCGAAGGUGGCCUGUGAGGGUUGCUGGAGGUAUCAGAAGUGCGAAUGCUGACAUAAGUAACGAUAAAGCGGGUGAAAAGCCCGCUCGCCGGAAGACCAAGGGUUCCUGUCCAACGUUAAUCGGGGCAGGGUGAGUCGACCCCUAAGGCGAGGCCGAAAGGCGUAGUCGAUGGGAAACGGGUUAAUAUUCCCGUACUUGGUGUUACUGCGAAGGGGGGACGGAGAAGGCUAUGUUGGCCGGGCGACGGUUGUCCCGGUUUAAGCGUGUAGGUGUGUGUUCCAGGUAAAUCCGGUUCACUUUAACACUGAGGCGUGACGACGAGGCACUACGGUGCUGAAGCAACAAAUGCCCUGCUUCCAGGAAAAGCCUCUAAGCAUCAGGUAACAUCAAAUCGUACCCCAAACCGACACAGGUGGUCAGGUAGAGAAUACCAAGGCGCUUGAGAGAACUCGGGUGAAGGAACUAGGCAAAAUGGUGCCGUAACUUCGGGAGAAGGCACGCUGACACGUAGGUGAAGUGAUUUACUCAUGGAGCUGAAGUCAGUCGAAGAUACCAGCUGGCUGCAACUGUUUAUUAAAAACACAGCACUGUGCAAACACGAAAGUGGACGUAUACGGUGUGACGCCUGCCCGGUGCCGGAAGGUUAAUUGAUGGGGUCAGCGCAAGCGAAGCUCCUGAUCGAAGCCCCGGUAAACGGCGGCCGUAACUAUAACGGUCCUAAGGUAGCGAAAUUCCUUGUCGGGUAAGUUCCGACCUGCACGAAUGGCGUAAUGAUGGCCAGGCUGUCUCCACCCGAGACUCAGUGAAAUUGAACUCGCUGUGAAGAUGCAGUGUACCCGCGGCAAGACGGAAAGACCCCGUGAACCUUUACUAUAGCUUGACACUGAACAUUGAGCCUUGAUGUGUAG